UAUGAUGUCUGAUUUUAUAAAUUUAGGCCUUUAAUCCUGUCACCUUAGGUCGAUCGGUACCUCAGAUUAUUUACUGUGAAAGUAAGAAAUUGUUUUUACUUGUUUUUAAUUUCAGUUCCUAAACUUGUCUAGGUCACACCCAACAAACUGUCUCCUGGGCUAUUAGCUCAGGCGGUUAGAGCGCACCCCUGAUAAGGGUGAGGUCCCUGGUUCAAGUCCAGGAUGGCCCAUUCGUUGUUGGGGGUAUAGCUCAGUUGGUAGAGCGCCUGCUUUGCAAGCAGGAUGUCAGCGGUUCGAGUCCGCUUACCUCCACUGAUCAACUACCUGAUAACUCAGUUUGGAGAUUAUGAUUUGUUUAAUGUGAUUUAGAUGUUGUUCAACUGAAAGAACCUAGCUUCCUAUCAUUCCUGAAAUUAAUUCUAGGCUGAUAAGACGCUGGGCUCACUGAAUUUUAUUUUUAAUAUUCAGUUAGUUUCAGCAGAACCUUGACAACUGCAUAGAGAAAGUCUGGAAAAUAAAGCAUCUCAUAGAUGCAGAUGAUUUUUUUUCAUUUUGAAUGAUUAGAAUCAUUUGUUCAAUUCUUGAGUUAGAGCAAAUUUUCUAUUAUUUAAUUCGCUUAGAGAUAAGUGAUUGUCUAAA
rnacentral:tRNA from 1 species